rnacentral:rRNA from 1 species
UACGAGGGGGGCGAGCGUUUGUUCGGAAUUAUUGGGCGUAAAGGGUGCGUAGGCGGUUUGAUAAGUCUGAUGUGAAAUCUAUGGGCUCAACCCAUAGCCUGCAUUAGAAACUGUCGGGCUUGAGUAUGGGAGAGGUGAGUGGAAUUCCUGGUGUAGCGGUGAAAUGCGCAGAUAUCAGGAAGAACACCCGUGGCUAAGGCGGCUCUCUAGUACGGUACUGACGCUGAGACGCGAAAGCGUGGGGAGCGAACAGG